rnacentral:rRNA from 1 species
GAUGAACGCUGGCGGCGUGCCUAAUACAUGCAAGUCGAGCGAACGGACGAGAAGCUUGCUUCUCUGAUGUUAGCGGCGGACGGGUGAGUAACACGUGGAUAACCUACCUAUAAGACUGGGAUAACUUCGGGAAACCGGAGCUAAUACCGGAUAAUAUUUUGAACCGCAUGGUUCAAAAGUGAAAGACGGUCUUGCUGUCACUUAUAGAUGGAUCCGCGCUGCAUUAGCUAGUUGGUAAGGUAACGGCUUACCAAGGCAACGAUGCAUAGCCGACCUGAGAGGGUGAUCGGCCACACUGGAACUGAGACACGGUCCAGACUCCUACGGGAGGCAGCAGUAGGGAAUCUUCCGCAAUGGGCGAAAGCCUGACGGAGCAACGCCGCGUGAGUGAUGAAGGUCUUCGGAUCGUAAAACUCUGUUAUUAGGGAAGAACAUAUGUGUAAGUAACUGUGCACAUCUUGACGGUACCUAAUCAGAAAGCCACGGCUAACUACGCGCCAGCAGCCGCGGUAAUACGUGGGUGGCGAGCGUUAUCCGGAAUUAUUGGGCGUAAAGCGCGCGUAGGCGGUUUUUUAAGUCUGAUGUGAAAGCCCACGGGUCACCGUGGAGGGUCAUUGGAAACUGGAAAACUUGAGUGCAGAAGAGGAAAGUGGAAUUCCAUGUGUAGCGGUGAAAUGCGCAGAGAUAUGGAGGAACACCAGUGGCGAAGGCGACUUUCUGGUCUGUAACUGACGCUGAUGUGCGAAAGCGUGGGGAUCAAACAGGAUUAGAUACCCUGGUAGUCCACGCCGUAAACGAUGAGUGCUAAGUGUUAGGGGGUUUCCGCCCCUUAGUGCUGCAGCUAACGCAUUAAGCACUCCGCCUGGGGAGUACGACCGCAAGGUUGAAACUCAAAGGAAUUGACGGGGACCCGCACAAGCGGUGGAGCAUGUGGUUUAAUUCGAAGCAACGCGAAGAACCUUACCAAAUCUUGACAUCCUUUGACAACUCUAGAGAUAGAGCCUUCCCCUUCGGGGGACAAAGUGACAGGUGGUGCAUGGUUGUCGUCAGCUCGUGUCGUGAGAUGUUGGGUUAAGUCCCGCAACGAGCGCAACCCUUAAGCUUAGUUGCCAUCAUUAAGUUGGGCACUCUAAGUUGACUGCCGGUGACAAACCGGAGGAAGGUGGGGAUGACGUCAAAUCAUCAUGCCCCUUAUGAUUUGGGCUACACACGUGCUACAAUGGACAAUACAAAGGGCAGCGAAACCGCGAGGUCAAGCAAAUCCCAUAAAGUUGUUCUCAGUUCGGAUUGUAGUCUGCAACUCGACUACAUGAAGCUGGAAUCGCUAGUAAUCGUAGAUCAGCAUGCUACGGUGAAUACGUUCCCGGGUCU